rnacentral:rRNA from 1 species
UACGUAGGGGGCAAGCGUUGUUCGGAAUUACUGGGCGUAAAGGGCGCGUAGGCGGCACGGCAAGUCAGGAGUGAAAGGCCUGGGCUCAACCGAGGAACUGCUUUGAGACUGCCGAGCUAGGAGUGCGGAAGGGGCAACCGGAAUUCCCAGUGUAGCGGUGAAAUGCGUAGAUAUUGGGAAGAACACCUGAGGCGAAGGCGGGUUGCUGGGCCGACACUGACGCUGAGGCGCGAAAGCCAGGGGAGCAAAGCGGG